GAGGAAUAUUGGUCAAUGGGUGCAAGCCUGAACCAGCCAUCCCGCGUGAAGGACGACUGCCCUAUGGGUUGUAAACUUCUUUUGUAUAGGGAUAAACCUACCCUCGUGAGGGUAGCUGAAGGUACUAUACGAAUAAGCACCGGCUAACUCCGUGCCAGCAGCCGCGGUAAUACGGAGGGUGCAAGCGUUAUCCGGAUUUAUUGGGUUUAAAGGGUCCGUAGGCGGACUUAUAAGUCAGUGGUGAAAGCCUGUCGCUUAACGAUAGAACUGCCAUUGAUACUGUAAGUCUUGAGUAUAUUUGAGGUAGCUGGAAUAAGUAGUGUAGCGGUGAAAUGCAUAGAUAUUACUUAGAACACCAAUUGCGAAGGCGACCUGCUGGAACAUUACUGACGCUGAGGUGCGAAAGCGUGGGGAGCAAACA
rnacentral:rRNA from 1 species